GUCCUCACUUUGGCAGCACAUAUACUAAAACUGGAACAAUACAGAGAAGAUUAGCAUGGCCCCUGCGCAAGGAUGCCAUGAAAAAGAAAAGAAAAAAAGAAUGAGAUC
rnacentral:snRNA from 1 species